AGAAUAACACCAGAGAAGCACGCCGAGAAACAUCCAAAGAUGUCAGAGCAGUAGCAGAACUUCCUGGGGCUCCUGAUCCACAAGGUCAGGGUCGACUGAGCCAUGUACAGGACUCAACCUGAAGCAGCUGACUGCAGUGAAGACCCAGCACCUCUCCAAGAAGUGACCUCCAACAGUGGUGGGGGGUCUGGCUAAGUUGCCCAGGCUGGUUUUGAACAUGUCAUCCGUCUGUCUCAGCCUCAGGAGUUGAUGGGAUUAUAGACACCAGGCUCAGCUAUUUUUUCACAACUUUUAAAUUACAAGCACUACUUGGAAACAGAA